rnacentral:rRNA from 1 species
GACGAACGCUGGCGGCGUGCUUAACACAUGCAAGUCGAGCGGAAAGGCCCUUCGGGGUACUCGAGCGGCGAACGGGUGAGUAACACGUGAGUAAUCUGCCCUUGGCUUUGGGAUAACUACCGGAAACGGUGGCUAAUACCGGAUACGACAACCGUCUGCAUGGGCUGGUUGUGGAAAGUUUUUUCGGCCAGGGAUGUGCUCGCGGCCUAUCAGCUUGUUGGUGGGGUAAUGGCCUACCAAGGCUUCGACGGGUAGCCGGCCUGAGAGGGUGACCGGCCACACUGGGACUGAGACACGGCCCAGACUCCUACGGGAGGCAGCAGUGGGGAAUAUUGGACAAUGAGCGGAAGCCUGAUCCAGCAACGCCGCGUGAGGGAUGACGGCCUUCGGGUUGUAAACCUCUUUCAGUACCGACGAAGCGCCGAUGAUGGUGGUGACGGUAGGUACAGAAGAAGCACCGGCCAGCUACGUG